rnacentral:rRNA from 1 species
GAUGAACGCUGGCGGCGUGCCUAAUACAUGCAAGUCGAGCGAACGGACGAGGAGCUUGCUCCUCUGAUGUUAGCGGCGGACGGGUGAGUAACACGUGGAUAACCUACCUAUAAGACUGGGAUAACUUCGGGAAACCGUAGCUAAUACCGGAUAAUAUAUUGAACCGCAUGGUUCAAAAGUGAAAGACGGUCUUGCUGUCACUUAUAGAUGGAUCCGCGCUGCAUUAGCUAGUUGGUAAGGUAACGGCUUACCAAGGCAACGAUGCGUAGCCGACCUGAGAGGGUGAUCGGCCACACUGGAACUGAGACACGGUCCAGACUCCUACGGGAGGCAGCAGUAGGGAAUCUUCCGCAAUGGGCGAAAGCCUGACGGAGCAACGCCGCGUGAGUGAUGAAGGUCUUCGGAUCGUAAAACUCUGUUAUUAGGGAAGAACAAAUGUGUAAGUAACUGUGCACAUCUUGACGGUACCUAAUCAGAAAGCCACGGCUAACUACGUG